rnacentral:rRNA from 1 species
UACGAAGGGGCUAGCGUUGCUCGGAAUCACUGGCGUAAAGCGCACGUAGGCGGAUUGCUAAGUCAGGGGUGAAAUCCUGGAGCUCAACUCCAGAACUGCCUUUGAUACUGGCGACCUUGAGUCCGGGAGAGGUGAGUGGAACUGCGAGUGUAGAGGUGAAAUUCGUAGAUAUUCGCAAGAACACCAGUGGCGAAGGCGGCUCACUGGCCCGGUACUGACGCUGAGGUGGCGAAAGCGUGGGGAGCAACAGG